GACGAACGCUGGCGGCGUGCUUAACACAUGCAAGUCGAACGGAAAGGCCCUGCUUUUGUGGGGUGCUCGAGUGGCGAACGGGUGAGUAACACGUGAGUAACCUGCCCUUGACUUUGGGAUAACUUCAGGAAACUGGGGCUAAUACCGGAUAGGAGCUCCUGCUGCAUGGUGGGGGUUGGAAAGUUUCGGCGGUUGGGGAUGGACUGGCGGCUUAUCAGCUUGUUGGUGGGGUAGUGGCUUACCAAGGCAUUGACGGGUAGCCUGCCUGAGAGGGUGACCUGCCACGUUACGACGGGAAUACGGCCCAGACUCGAACGGGAGGCAACGGAGGAGAGGAUAGCACAAUGGGCUGAAGCAUGAUGCAGCAACGCCACGUGCGGUAAGACAGGCUUCGGGUUGUAUUGCGCAGUCGCCUGAGACGAAGCGAGAGUGACGGUAAUGGGUAAAGAAGCACCGGCUAACUACGUG
rnacentral:rRNA from 1 species